rnacentral:sRNA from 1 species
UUACCUUUAUGCAGUUUGCUAUCUUCUCCGACUUCAAAUGCCUGACAUUA